AGUAAACUGCAUCAAAAUCUCGUGUCGUCAAAGGUUUGCAAAAUUCGAUAAGUUGUGAUACACGCCUUGAUUUAACAACUAUCAAACUCUCGCGAUGAAUGAACAGCGAUUUUUAUGAACGAUUUGACAUAUAAGCGAUAAUAAUUAGAGAUUUUUAUAACACUUCAGACAAUACUUGACUGCGACAAACUAUGAUUCGGUGACUGGGAAUUUCCAGCGAAAUUUUAAACUAAAUAUUUGUAGUGCUAUAUUGGAAUUUUAAAAACUUGAUCUGGACAUGAACUUUCGUUUGUGCUUUGUCCUCCUUUUGGAACUCCUCAUGUUUACGGAACAGUAUUAUGCCCAGGAUGCGGAAGAAUAUUAUACCUAUAACGAGGGCCUACCUAGUCCCAUUCUCAAGAAGGCGAUCAAUAAUUUGGUGGUAA